CGUCGGGUGCAUGCUCUGGGGCAGACUUCUGCUCUGGGCAGUGCUGUCCACGGAGCCAAAGUCAUGGUGCUGAAACCUGAAAGCUCAGAGCAGGCAAAGGAGCUUGGAAAUCAUCUGAAUUUACUCUCUUUUGCAGACACUAUGUCUGAGAGUCAAUGUGUUGUCCAUCUCUUCCUCCAGACCACGCUGCAAACUGAUCAAGCCCACCUAGACUGGAUGCAGCUUCAGGAAGGCCUGCCUUGCGUUGCUCCAGCUUGCAAAGCCCCUUCGCAUCCAGUGGAGAUGAACUGAGUUAGAUUACUGAUUCUUGAAAUUCAUGGUGGCUUUUAAUUAAAUGGGGAGUUUCCCUUUUGCAGAAGACAUCAGAUUCCUCUGAGAGCAUCUCAGCUUGUUUUCUAGGAAAAUACGUUUCUAACAUAUGUGGGGUAGAAACUGAGUAGAAAUUGAUCCUUCAGAGCCUGGUGCCCUGGUUUCUAAAGGAGAAAGAUGCUUUGAAGAACAGAGACAAAAGUCUUUGGAGCUGGGAAGUCAGGGAGAAAGGAGGUAAAGAAUGGGGAGAGAAGGACCCAGGAGACAGGAGUGAGCAUGAUGACAGGAUGUUGUGCCCUUGGUGUUAUGGACUUUCACCCUAGCACCACGAUUUCUCCCAAAGAAUGGAGGAGCCCCGUGUACCUGGCUCUCUUGAGGAUAUGGUGAAAAACUGCUUCUGCCCGUGGGUGGUGGAAGGCUAGUCCAGAGAUUGCACAUCUCUGUGAUUUCACAGAGUCUGGAUGGAAGAGGAACGUAGGAAACCAACUCUGGACUUCCCCAAACCUUUACAAUUCAAGUCUGAUGCAAUGUGUGUGGAGGGCAGUAAUUCAAGGAAAUUAAGUCAAGAAUGCAAGGGGCAGAAGGCCCCCAACUGACCUCUGGGUUAGACUCAAGUGGAGCCUGGCACAGAGUCAUGCAUUUAAAAUAAUAUCCUGCCAGGAUUUUUGUUUCCUCAGAAAGGGAUAUGGCAAAAUUUCAAAGGGAAACUGUUGAUAUCAGGAGGCCACUUGGGGUCACCUCAUGCAAACUCCCAUCUAGCGUGGGCAUUAAGUGAACUUUAGGAACUUGGGGUCCUGCUCUUAUUCUCCCCACUCUGCCUUCUCUCUCAAUAUAUACCAGUGGAAGCUUCCUCCAGUGACUUGGCAUCUUCCAAAUGCCACUUCCCCUUCCACUGAGAUCCAUGGAGCCAGAUUGGCAGAUCCUACAACCUGAGACGGGGUCACUGGAGCACAGGGGCCAGCCAUGCUCAGCUUUCUCAGCUGCCUCAUCAGGAAGAGGAGACUACCAACUAGAAACCUGUGAAUUCUUGGAGAAUGAACAAGUUGGUUUUCUGCAGUUUCCCCACAUGAUUCCUUUCCCAAGUCCCCAGGCAGCCUUCUUGUCUCCCUGCAAGGCUGCAGCCAGAAGCAAUUACAGUGGCAAUACAAGCCCGGAAGAUGGGGACCGAUAUUUUUCAAUAUGACCGACCCACAGCUGUUCAUAUAUUUGGUUUCUUUAACAUUCUUUCCACUGGCCUUAACCAAAGAAGGAGUUUCUUAAAGUAUAACAUGGUAUACAUUAAAAUUAAUAGUUAAAGUUCUUAAAUUAAAGAAUGACCUUACAUAAUUCUUGGGUUAACAAAAUCACGACUGCAAUAAUAAACUACUUGGAAAAUAACCAACAGUGAGAAUAUUGCGUAUCAAACUCAUGCCAAUGUUGUUCUCACGGGAAAUGUCGCUGCUCUGAAUGCAUUCAGAAAUAAACAAUAAAAAUUGAAAAGAA